rfam:Halogeometricum pallidum JCM 14848 contig_6, whole genome shotgun sequence.
GCGCCGAUGGUCCAAUGGUAGGACAUUAGCUUCCCAAGCUAAUAGUCCGGGUUCAAUUCCCGGUCGGCGCA